rnacentral:lncRNA from 1 species
UUUCAUUGUGAAGUAAAGUACAUGUUGUAGACAGCUAUUACUCUGUUAAUUGUAACUAACACGCAAUACUACAUGUAUGUAAAAUUAUAAAAAGUUUACCAAUAAAAUCCCCUGGUUUUAUUGGUAAUUAACCAUACAGGGCAGAACCUUAAUGCCAUUGUUGUAACAUUAAGGAGAUUUGUUAACAACUAUUAUAGUAAAAUAAAGUAUCUGAAGUUGUAAAAAAAAAAAAAAAAAAAAAAGCAUUGUGGGAAAUUUCAGACGAAUGUUAGCAUUUGUACGAAGAAAGGCAGAUUUCUCGGUAUAAAGUAAUGACUCUUUUCUCAAAACAGGGUGACAUUUAACUCGACAUACGUCUGGUGUAUAAUUUUCAUGAGUAAUUUUAUGUAAUAACAAGCAAGGUGUAUUUAAACGAGAAUAUUGAAUUAUUGAAUAAAUGAAACAUAAAUGCACG